rnacentral:rRNA from 1 species
UACGAAGGGGGCUAGCGUUGUUCGGAAUUACUGGGCGUAAAGCGCACGCAGGCGGUCUGUUAAGUCAGAUGUGAAAUCCCCGGGCUUAACCUGGGAACUGCAUUUGAAACUGGCAGGCUUGAGUCUUGUAGAGGGGGGUAGAAUUCCAGGUGUAGCGGUGAAAUGCGUAGAGAUCUGGAGGAAUACCGGUGGCGAAGGCGGCCCCCUGGACAAAGACUGACGCUCAGGUGCGAAAGCGUGGGGAGCAAACAGG